UAUAUUGCUGAAGCGUAGAACAGGGUAGAGAUAAGGUGGGUCUGGGCAAUAGUUAUUCUGGCUGUAGGGGAAAGGAAGGGUUUGAUUCUGUAAAGAGUGCCUAGUUUUAUGUUGACUGACUUUAUAGUAAAGUUAAUGUGU